rnacentral:rRNA from 1 species
CACGUAGGGGGCGAGCGUUGUCCGGAAUCAUUGGGCGUAAAGAGCUCGUAGGCGGCUCAGUAAGUCGGGUGUGAAACCCCCAGGCUCAACCUGGGGACGCCACCCGAUACUGCUGUGGCUAGAGUCCAGUAGGGGAGUGUGGAAUUCCCGGUGUAGCGGUGAAAUGCGUAGAUAUCUGGAGGAAUACCGGUGGCGAAGGCGGCAUCCUGGACCGGCAUUGACGCUGAUGAGCGAAAGCUAGGGGAGCAAACGGG